UACGUAGGGUGCGAGCGUUGUCCGGAAUUAUUGGGCGUAAAGAGCUUGUAGGCGGUCUGUCGCGUCUGCUGUGAAAAUCCGGGGCUCAACCCCGGACUUGCAGUGGGUACGGGCAGACUAGAGUGUGGUAGGGGAGACUGGAAUUCCUGGUGUAGCGGUGAAAUGCGCAGAUAUCAGGAGGAACACCGAUGGCGAAGGCAGGUCUCUGGGCCGACAUUGACGCUGAGGAGCGAAAGCGUGGGGAGCGAACAGG
rnacentral:rRNA from 1 species